rnacentral:lncRNA from 1 species
CCUUUUGUAUGCAAAUAUUUUGUUCUAAAUAAUAAAAAGAAUAAGAUUGGAAAAUUUGACUCUAAAAGUGAUGAAGCUGCAUUUGUAGGGAACUCUUCAAUAAGACAAGCAUUCAGAGUUUUCAACAAAAAAACUGUGUAUGGAGGAAAGUGUACAUGCAAUUUUUGAUGAGUCAGUAAAGCAAAAAGAUUCUAGUGGAGAUGA